UGGGGAAUAUUGGACAAUGGGCGAAAGCCUGAUCCAGCCAUGCCGCGUGUGUGAAGAAGGUCUUCGGAUUGUAAAGCACUUUAAGUUGGGAGGAAGGGCAGUAAGCGAAUACCUUGCUGUUUUGACGUUACCGACAGAAUAAGCACCGGCUAACUCUGUGCCAGCAGCCGCGGUAAUACAGAGGGUGCAAGCGUUAAUCGGAAUUACUGGGCGUAAAUCGCGCGUAGGUGGUUCGUUAAGUUGAAUGUGAAAGCCCCGAGCUCAACCUGCGAACUGCAUCCAAAUCUGGCGAGCUAGAGUAGGGCAGAGGGUGGUGGAAUUUCCUGUGUAGCGGUGAAAUGCGUAGAUAUAGGAAGGAACACCAGUGGCGAAGGCAACCACCUGGGCUCAUACUGACACUGAGGUGCGAAAGCGUGGGGAGCAAACAGG
rnacentral:rRNA from 1 species